AUAUAGCGAAGAUGCAGUAUUCUAGUCAAUCGUACUAUUAGGAAGACGAAGCAAAUAGCGUCGAAAGGCACAUCGAUGAAGUUUCUGGUGCUGGCUUUGGUUGCCCAAACUGGGGCUGGUGCUGGAAGUUAAGAUUAUUGGGCAGGCUGUAACGGCAUACGGUCCGGCGUCCCAAUUUUCGCGGAGACCCAUCAGGGUGCACAAGUUGCACUCUCUGGGAUAAGAACCUGCAUUGCGGUAAAAGUCGUGUGCAGUGUAGCCUACUUUGAGUGGAUAUACUGGGAUUAGGUGUUAACAUAUACGCUUUAGCUGGCCAACUUUGCGUAUAUCUGCCUAUGAAACUAUAUCUGCAAAAUAAGAGAAUAAUACUUGCGAUUGCCAAGGAAAACUUCUAGACUGUUGCGUUCUUCGCGCAGGCAGAAAUAGGAUUAUAGUGUGUUCUGAGUGGCGAUUCGGUGAAACGCUUGGCUUAAAAGGAAACUGCUUAUAUGGCGACAUUGAGUGCUUCAAGUCCGGGAAAUCCGACCGAACCUAUGACACAAGGUUUACUAAUUCUGCUAUCUUC
rnacentral:sRNA from 1 species